rnacentral:rRNA from 1 species
UCUCAGGAUGAACGCUGGCGGCGUGCUUAACACAUGCAAGUCGAACGAACCUUCGGGUUAGUGGCGGACGGGUGAGUAACGCGUGAGAAUCUGCUCUCAGGAGGGGGAUAACGGCUGGAAACGGCCGCUAAUACCCCAUAUGCCGCGAGGUGAAAUGAAUUUCGCCUGAGGAUGAGCUCGCGUCUGAUUAGCUAGUUGGUGUAGGUAAUGGCUCACCAAGGCAUCGAUCAGUAGCUGGUCUGAGAGGAUGAUCAGCCACACUGGGACUGAGACACGGCCCAGACUCCUACGGGAGGCAGCAGUGGGGAAUUUUCCGCAAUGGGCGAAAGCCUGACGGAGCAACGCCGCGUGAGGGAUGAAGGCCUCUGGGCUGUAAACCUCUUUUAUCAAGGAAGAAGAUCUGACGGUACUUGAUGAAUAAGCCACGGCUAAUUCCGUG